rnacentral:rRNA from 1 species
GGUUAAGUUAAUAAGGGCGCACGGUGGAUGCCUUGGCACUAGAAGCCGAUGAAGGACGUGACUAACGACGAAAUGCUUUGGGGAGCUGUAAGUGAGCAAAGAUCCAGAGAUGUCCGAAUGGGGGAACCCGGCAGGUAAUGCCUGUCACUCAUUACUGUUAAGGUAAUGAAGAGGAAGACGCAGUGAACUGAAACAUCUAAGUAGCUGCAGGAAGAGAAAGCAAAAGCGAUUGCCUUAGUAGCGGCGAGCGAAAUGGCAAGAGGGCAAACCGAAGAGUUUACUCUUCGGGGUUGUAGGACUGCGAUGUGGACUUAAAGAUUAUAGAAGAACUACCUGGGAAGGUAGGCCAAAGAGAGUAACAGCCUCGUAUUCGAAAUAGUCUUUAUACCUAGCAGUAUCCUGAGUACGGCGAGACACGAGAAAUCUCGUCGGAAUCUGGGAGGACCAUCUCCCAACCCUAAAUACUCUCUAGUGACCGAUAGUGAACCAGUACCGUGAGGGAAAGGUGAAAAGCACCCCGGGAGGGGAGUGAAAUAGAACCUGAAACCGUGUGCCUACAACAAGUUCGAGCCCGUUAAUGGGUGAGAGCGUGCCUUUUGUAGAAUGAACCGGCGAGUUACGAUAUGAUGCGAGGUUAAGUUGAAGAGACGGAGCCGCAGGGAAACCGAGUCUUAAUAGGGCGCCAUAGUAUCAUGUCGUAGACCCGAAACCAUGUGACCUACCCAUGAGCAGGUUGAAGGUGAGGUAAAACUCACUGGAGGACCGAACCAGGGCACGUUGAAAAGUGCUUGGAUGACUUGUGGGUAGCGGAGAAAUUCCAAACGAACUUGGAGAUAGCUGGUUCUCUCCGAAAUAGCUUUAGGGCUAGCGUCGAUGUUAAGUCUCUUGGAGGUAGAGCACUGUUUGGGUGAGGGGUCCAUCCCGGAUUACCAAUCUCAGAUAAACUCCGAAUGCCAAUGAGAUAUAAUCGGCAGUCAGACUGCGAGUGCUAAGAUCCGUAGUCGAAAGGGAAACAGCCCAGACCACCAGCUAAGGUCCCAAAAUAUAUGUUAAGUGGAAAAGGAUGUGGGGUUGCACAGACAACUAGGUGACCCUGCGCCGAAAAUGUACCGGGGCUAAAACAUAUUACCGAAGCUGUGGAUACCUUUAUAGGUAUGGUAGGAGAGCGUUCUAUGUGCGAAGAAGGUGUACCGUGAGGAGUGCUGGAGCGCAUAGAAGUGAGAAUGCCGGUAUGAGUAGCGAAAGACAGGUGAGAAUCCUGUCCACCGUAAGACUAAGGUUUCCAGGGGAAGGCUCGUCCGCCCUGGGUUAGUCGGGACCUAAGGAGAGACCGAAAGGUGUAUCCGAUGGCCAACAGGUUGAUAUUCCUGUACUAGAGUAUAUAGUGAUGGAGGGACGCAGUAGGCUAACUAAACCAGACGAAUGGAAGAGUCUGGCCAAGCAGUGAGGUGUGAUAUGAGUCAAAUGCUUAUAUCUCUAACAUUGAGCUGUGAUGGGGAGCGAAGUUUAGUAGCGAAGUUAGUGAUGUCACACUGCCAAGAAAAGCUUCUAGCGUUAAUUAUACUCUACCCGUACCGCAAACCGACACAGGUAGUCGAGGCGAGUAGCCUCAGGUGAGCGAGAGAACUCUCGUUAAGGAACUCGGCAAAAUGGCCCCGUAACUUCGGGAGAAGGGGCGCUGACUGAUAGUCAGCCGCAGUGAAUAGGCCCAAGCAACUGUUUAUCAAAAACACAGCUCUCUGCUAAAUCGUAAGAUGAUGUAUAGGGGGUGACGCCUGCCCGGUGCUGGAAGGUUAAGAGGAGUGCUUAGCGUAAGCGAAGGUAUGAAUUGAAGCCCCAGUAAACGGCGGCCGUAACUAUAACGGUCCUAAGGUAGCGAAAUUCCUUGUCGGGUAAGUUCCGACCCGCACGAAAGGCGUAAUGA